GAUGAACGCUGGCGGCGUGCUUAACACAUGCAAGUCGAACGGAAAGGCCCAAGCUUGCUUGGGUACUCGAGUGGCGAACGGGUGAGUAACACGUGGGUGAUCUGCCCUGCACUUCGGGAUAAGCCUGGGAAACUGGGUCUAAUACCGGAUAGGACGAUGGUUUGGAUGCCAUUGUGGAAAGUUUUUUCGGUGUGGGAUGAGCUCGCGGCCUAUCAGCUUGUUGGUGGGGUAAUGGCCUACCAAGGCGUCGACGGGUAGCCGGCCUGAGAGGGUGUACGGCCACAUUGGGCCGGAGAUACGGCCCAGACUCCUACGGGAGGCAGCAGGGGGGAAUAUUGCACAAUGGGCGCAAGCCUGAUGCAGCGACGCCGCGUGGGGGAUGACGGCCUUCGGGUUGUAAACUCCUUUCGCUAGGGACGAAGCGUUUUUGUGACGGUACCUGGAGAAGAAGCACCGGCUAACUACGUG
rnacentral:rRNA from 1 species